UGUAAUCUAGCCAAGCCCAGGGGAAGGGGGAAGUCAGGUGAGGUGCAGGCUCUGCCCAUCCGUGUAUCAACAUUUCCAGCGAGGAAGGCGUUCUGCCUUGCCAGCUCCUCCUCCAGCAACAGACUGCUCAACACUGGAGCCUGAAAGCACGCUGCAGGCUGCAAAAUUCUUUGAGGACCACAACCCGCCCAUCAAUCCAUGCUGUUAGAGGAGUGCACAAAAGCUGUGACCCAAAUUUGUGGAUACAGACAUUGCAGACCCACCAGGCUACCAAAGGAUAGGAAGCUACUGCUCAGCACUCACCAGGAUCGGUCCGGAUGCCACAGCCUGCACACCGGUAAUUCUGCUUGGCCACAGCUACCUUCCUCCUGUCCAGAGACAAAAGAUGACAUAAGUGAAUCCAGGCCUGAUGGCACCCAGCACCUGACAACAGGCACUGACACAACUCUGGACAUGCACAUCCACAUUCCUUGCGAUGAAAGCGUGGAUGACAGCCCUUCAGGGCAUGGGCAAGCUGAAGAGCCUGGCAGAGUUGGGCACCGUGCAAGAUGAAGAUCCUGGUAUUGAAUGUGAUGCCUUCAAGGAGUCUGAUCGUAUGUCACCCAGAUCCCCAGAACAACUGCAUAUCAAAGAGCAACCUGCACUUCAAGGAGACCAAACAGCAGCCUCUGUGAAGAACCCCGUGGGGGAUGGCUGAGCACAAGACAGGUAAACCCAAUGCCAAGUUUGUUCUCUGCAGACAUUAGUAGGAAAAGGCCAAGGCACUGCUGCCCAGGAAGAUGUGGUAGCAACACCCUAUGAGAACUUGCUGCAGGGGGCAAGGAAGAAGCCACACAGCUGGGCUGAGUGCCUUCCAGGGAGCUGUCAGCACCACUAGGGAUACCUUCUGUUCUUUGUGAGGUUUUUCAUUCCUUUCUGGUUCCUCCACAAGACCCAGACCCCACAGCCCCACGGCAGCUCAUUUCCAACACUGGUGCCUCAACAAAGGAACCAUUUGGCAUGUUGACAGUCGAGCAGUUAGUGCACACUGUGGCCCAUGCAUGUUCCCUCCAGGCACACUCCCAGCAUCAUCCACUCCCAGCGUACCAGCAAGAGUUUUUUGGAAAGCUGCCUUUUCUUAUACCAGCCAGGAUGCCUAAACAGCUUUUUUAGAGACCAUCUCAGGCCCUGAAAACCAACAACAAACAAGCAAUCAAGGUGCCUAGCAAGAGCAGUGGGUGAGCAGCCAUGCAGGCCUUGCUUAUGCCCCAGCUCUAGGGCAUUUUGCCCCAGUUGUGCCCAAGCACAACUUUUGCUUGGGAGCCACUGCUGUUCCCAAACUGCUGCCUCUGUCCUCUCAGCCCUCUCAGCUGUUAGCCAAGGCACUGCACAGCAAGCGGCAGGGCCUGGACAAAACCCAUCCUUCUCUCCUCCACUUUCAGCAGAACUAGCAAAGGCCCUGGGCAGUGGGCAUGGAGCCAGGGAAUGUGUGAAAAGGAUCAAAUAAUCGGUGAGCUGGGAUUUCCAAAGAGCAGGGAGAGCUCUGCACUGUAUGCUUUUCCAAUCACCGUGCCUCAGUACUGCCCUGCUCCUGUGCUGGCACCUCCAGGCAGUGCCCAUGUACCUUGGUGGUGCCACCCCAGUCACUGUCACCCUCCUGUACACAGACAUACUCACACCCCUACCUUCUGC